rnacentral:rRNA from 1 species
AUUGAACGCUAGCGGCAUGCCUUACACAUGCAAGUCGAACGGCAGCGGGGGAGCUUGCUCCCGCCGGCGAGUGGCGAACGGGUGAGUAAUACAUCGGAACGUACCCAGUAGCGGGGGAUAGCCCGGCGAAAGCCGGAUUAAUACCGCAUACGCCCUACGGGGGAAAGGGGGGGAUCGCAAGACCUCUCACUAUUGGAGCGGCCGAUGGCUGAUUAGCUAGUUGGUGGGGUAAAGGCCUACCAAGGCGACGAUCAGUAGCUGGUCUGAGAGGACGACCAGCCACACUGGGACUGAGACACGGCCCAGACUCCUACGGGAGGCAGCAGUGGGGAAUUUUGGACAAUGGGCGAAAGCCUGACCCAGCAAUGCCGCGUGUGCGAAGAAGGCCUUCGGGUUGUAAAGCACUUUUGUCAGGGAAGAAAUCGUUUGGGUUAAUACCCCGAGCAGUUGACGGUACCUGAAGAAUAAGCACCGGCUAACUACGUGCCAGCCGCCGCAGUAA